rnacentral:tRNA from 1 species
GCAAGAGUGGCGGAAUUUGGUAGACGCACUGGAUUUAGGAUCCAGUUCCCGAAAGGGAGUGUGGGUUCAAGUCCCUCCUCUUGCA